GGCUAGCCGUACACUUUUAUUUACACCCAAUCGCCAGGGAACUACGAGCUAAGCUUAAACCCAAAGGACUUGACGGUACCCCAUAUCCCCCUAGAGGAGCCUGUCCUGUAAUCGAUAAUCCACGUUAAACCUCACCAUUUUUAGUUAAUCAGCCUGUAUACCUCCGUCGUCAGCUUACCACGUGAGCGCCAAUUAGUGAGCUUAAUGUUUUUCACCAAUACGUCAGGUCAAGGUGCAGCAAAUAAAGUGGGAAGAGAUGGGCUACACUCUCUAUUUUAGAAAAAACGAAAAACUACCUAUGAAACCUAGUUAGAAGGCGGAUUUAGCAGUAAAAAGGAAUCAGCAUGUCCAUUUUAAUCCGGCACUGGGGUGUGUACACACCGCCCGUCA
rnacentral:rRNA from 1 species